AAAAAAGUAAAGUUCUGGCCAGUUGGUUAUGUUGGUGUCACUUCUGCAAGAUUUGCAAAACUAUCUGAACCAACUUUGUUAACACUUUGACGGACAAGAGAGGCUGCCAGCGUGUUGCUAUGGGAAGAGUUGUCUUAAAGUCAGGAGUAGCAGGCUUUCUGUCAGGGCUUGCAGUAGGGAGAGCAGGGAAGAGAGCUACUCCUUAAUUCCUCAUUGGGCAGGAGUAGCCUGCCAAUUCCAAGAACUAGGCAGACUCUGUUGCAGCAUCUAUCACAAAGCAGCCAUCACAAUCAUGUUUACCUCCAGCAGCUGGUGCGGCUAUUUGAGGAGACAGAUGCAACUUCUCUAAGACGGCGUGGAAAUCGGAGCUCUGAUCUCAGGACUGGCUGCAGCUGAUACCGCAAGGAAGGAAUUCAGCAGUUGACAUCAGAAUUUACACAUAAUUCAGUUCUCCAGUAUUCAUGAGAAUCUCAUAGAUGUUCAGGGUCUCAGCCCAGGGAAUGAUGGUGGAUAAGUCUUCUUAUUUCAAUUAACCUAAUCAAGAGAGCCCACCAUGGCUUCCUCAGAGCUCUGUCUCUCAGG